UACGAAGGGGGCUAGCGUUGUUCGGAAUUACUGGGCGUAAAGCGUGCGCAGGCGGCCAUCCAAGUCAGUGGUGAAAGCCCGGAGCUCAACUCCGGAAUUGCCAUUGAAACUGUUUGGCUCGAGUACGAGAGAGGUGAGUGGAAUUCCCAGUGUAGAGGUGAAAUUCGUAGAUAUUCGGAAGAACACCAGUGGCGAAGGCGACUCACUGGACAUGUAUUGACGCUGAGGUGCGAAAGCGUGGGGAGCAAACAGG
rnacentral:rRNA from 1 species